rnacentral:rRNA from 1 species
AACGAACGCUGGCGGCAUGCCUAACACAUGCAAGUCGAACGAGACCUUCGGGUCUAGUGGCGCACGGGUGCGUAACGCGUGGGAACCUGCCCUUAGGUUCGGAAUAACUCAGAGAAAUUUGAGCUAAUACCGGAUAAUGUCUUCGGACCAAAGAUUUAUCGCCUUUGGAUGGGCCCGCGUAGGAUUAGCUUGUUGGUGGGGUAAUGGCCUACCAAGGCGACGAUCCUUAGCUGGUCUGAGAGGAUGAUCAGCCACACUGGGACUGAGACACGGCCCAGACUCCUACGGGAGGCAGCAGUGGGGAAUAUUGGACAAUGGGCGAAGGCCUGAUACAGCAAUGCCGCGUGAGUGAUGAAGGCCUUAGGGUUGUAAAGCUCUUUUACCAGGGAUGAUAAUGACAGUACCUGGAGAAUAAGCGCCGGCUAACUCCGUG